UAGCUCAGUUGGUAGAGUGCUUGCCUCGCAUGCAUAAGGCCCUGGGUUCAAUCCCCAG
rfam:Ictidomys tridecemlineatus contig009945, whole genome shotgun sequence.